rnacentral:misc_RNA from 1 species
UAAACUUGGAAUUUUCUUUGUCAUCUUCUACCCACAAGCAAUUAUUUAACUUCCUUCUUUUAAAAGGUAACCUUGAUGAGGAGGAGGAGGAUGACGAGUCACUAUAUCUCAACCCGGCUCGGAUUCUGACUCGGAGCUGUGGUAUCACUUUCGGCGGCUUCCUCCGAUGACUCUCCGCUGUUAACGGUUGCAUUAGCCGAUAACACCCGACAAUUUUAUCUUUG